ACAAGCAGCGGAGCGUGUGGUUUAAUUCGUUGCUACACGAAGAACCUUACCUGGGUUUGACAUAUAGGUUGUAGGGAACUGAAAAGGGACCGACCCUUCGGGAGCCUAUACAGGUGUUGCAUGGCUGUCGUCAGCUCGUGUCGUGAGAUGUUCGGUUAAGUCCGCUAACGAGCGCAACCCUCGUCGUAUGUUAUAUGUGUCAUACGAGACUGCCGGUAAAAGCCGGAGGAAGGUGAGGAUGAUGUCAAGUCAGCAUGACCUUUAUAUCCAGGGCUACACACACGCUACAAUGGUCUGUACAAUGGGUAGCCAAGCCGCGAGGCGGAGCCAAUCCUGAAAGCAGGCCUCAGUUCAGAUUGCAGUCUGCAACUUGACUGCAUGAAGCCGGAGUUGCUAGUAACCGCAGGUCAGCAAUACUGCGGUGAAUACGUUCCCGGGUCUU
rnacentral:rRNA from 1 species